rnacentral:rRNA from 1 species
UACGUAGGGCGCAAGCGUUGUCCGGAAUUAUUGGGCGUAAAGAGCUCGUAGGCGGCCUGUUGCGUCCGCUGUGAAAACCCGGGGCUUAACCCCGGGCUUGCAGUGGAUACGGGCAGGCUGGAGGCAGGCAGGGGAGAACGGAAUUCCGGGUGUAGCGGUGAAAUGCGUAGAGAUCCGGAGGAACACCAGUGGCGAAGGCGGCCUUCUGGGUCGACCCUGACGCUGAGAGGCGAAAGCGUGGGGAGCGAACGGG